GUUUAGUCUGCCCUUUUCUUCUCGCGACAGAGAAACAAGCCUCAACAGGAUGGAGUUUGGAGUCACACUGCACCUGGUGUAUAUUUAAACUGGUGCUGGGCAGUGCUGGAAAUUGUCCCGCAGACAUCAUUCCCAGAGAGGAGGAUGACACCUGAAACAGCAACCAGGCCUGACUACAGCAGCCCCUCUGGUCCUCCAUCCUCAGUCUCCUCACAGAAAUACUCGAACAUCUCACUAGAAGAGUGAGUCUGUACUUAAAGUGCUUACCUCUCCUGUUCUGUCUUUCAUCACAAGAAACCAACCACUGCAAUCUUUAGCCACAAGUCUGACACUUAUGGUUGUAUCCUUUGAAUAAGUAUGUGCUAAUAUGUAAAGCAGGG
ensembl:lncRNA